AAAACUUUACAAUGCGGGAAACCGUGAUAAGGGGACACCGAGUGCCAGCAUCAUAUGCUGGCUGUCCAGGUGUGUAAAAUACACCUGUUAGCAAGGGCCGGGCAUGACCGGUGCCAGCCGCCGCGGUAACACCGGCGGCCCGAGUGGUGAUCGUGAUUAUUGGGUCUAAAGGGUCCGUAGCCGGUUUGGUCAGUCCUCCGGGAAAUCUGAUAGCUUAACUAUUAGGCUUUCGGAGGAUACUGCCAGACUUGGAACCGGGAGAGGUAAGAGGUACUACAGGGGUAGGAGUGAAAUCUUGUAAUCCCUGUGGGACCACCUGUGGCGAAGGCGUCUUACCAGAACGGGUUCGACGGUGAGGGACGAAAGCUGGGGGCACGAACCGGAUUAGAUACCCGGGUAGUCCCAGCCGUAAACGAUGCUCGCUAGGUGUCAGGCAUGGCGCGACCGUGUCUGGUGCCGCAGGGAAGCCGUGAAGCGAGCCACCUGGGAAGUACGGCCGCAAGGCUGAAACUUAAAGGAAUUGGCGGGGGAGCAC
rnacentral:rRNA from 1 species